rnacentral:rRNA from 1 species
GUAGGGAAUCUUCGGCAAUGGACGGAAGUCUGACCGAGCAACGCCGCGUGAGUCNAAGAAGGUUUUCGGAUCGUAAAGCUCUGUUGUUAGAGAAGAACGUUGGUAGGAGUGGAAAAUCUACCAAGUGACGGUAACUAACCAGAAAGGGACGGCUAACUACGUGCCAGCAGCCGCGGUAAUACGUAGGUCCCGAGCGUUGUCCGGAUUUAUUGGGCGUAAAGCGAGCGCAGGCGGUUCUUUAAGUCUGAAGUUAAAGGCAGUGGCUUAACCAUUGUACGCUUUGGAAACUGGAGGACUUGAGUGCAGAAGGGGAGAGUGGAAUUCCAUGUGUAGCGGUGAAAUGCGUAGAUAUAUGGAGGAACACCGGUGGCGAAAGCGGCUCUCUGGUCUGUAACUGACGCUGAGGCUCGAAAGCGUGGGGAGCAAACAGGAUUAGAUACCCUGGUAGUCCACGCCGUAAACGAUGAGUGCUAGGUGUUAGGCCCUUUCCGGGGCUUAGUGCCGCAGCUAACGCAUUAAGCACUCCGCCUGGGGAGUACGACCGCAAGGUUG